rnacentral:rRNA from 1 species
GAUGAACGCUGGCGGCGUGCCUAACACAUGCAAGUCGAACGAACAGACGGGGACUUUGCUCUUCUGACGAUUGCGGCGGAGGGGAGUGUAACAUGGGGACAACCUACCUAUAAGACUGGGAUCACUUCGGGACACCGGAGCUAAUACCGGAUAAUAUCUUGAUCCGCAUUGGUCAAUAGUGAAAUACGGUUUUGCUGUCACUGAUAGCUGGAUCCGCGCCGAAUUAGCUAGUUGGUAAGGUAACGGCUUACCAAGGCGACGAUGCGUAGCCGACCUGAGAGGGUGAUCGGACACACUGGAACUGAGACACGGCCCAGACUCCUACGGGAGGCAGCAGUAGGGAAUCUUACGCAAUGGGCGAAAGCUUGACGGAGCAACGCCGCGUGAGUGAUGAAGGUCUUCGGGUCGUAAAGCUCUGUUGUUAGGAAAGAACAAAUGUGUAAUUAACUGGGCGGGUCUUGACGGUACCGGAUCAAUAAGCCCCGGCUAACUACGUG